CUGGGAGGUGAAAAUUUCACAGGGAUGGCAACAGAUCCAAGUGCUUUGGUUUCAGCCGAUCUCCAAGCGUUCCUGACCAAGGCAAAGGGGACUCUCUCCACAAGAAAACUGCCAUAGCUUGUAUCACUCUUUAAUACUCAAAGGAUUUUCAGAGGGAGACCAGAUUGAUUGAAGCAAAAAAAAAAAAAAAAAAGGCCAAGAGUAGAAGAGGAGAAUUGUAUAGACUCGGGAGACUGGGACAGCUGAGAAAAUCACAAUUAAAAAAUC